rnacentral:rRNA from 1 species
GUAGGUGGCGAGCGUUGUCCGGAUUUACUGGGCGUAAAGCGCGUGUAGGUGGUCUGGAAAGUCCGGGGUGAAAUCUUGCGGCUCAACUGCAAGAGGUCCUUGGAUACUUCCAGACUCGAGGGAGGCAGAGGAAGGUGGAAUUCCCGGUGUAGUGGUGAAAUGCGUAGAUAUCGGGAGGAACACCAGUGGCGAAGGCGGCCUUCUGGGCCUUUCCUGACGCUGAGGCGCGAAAGCGUGGGUAGCAAACCGGAUUAGAUACCCGGGUAGUCCACGCCCUAAACGAUGAACACUAGGUGUGGGGGGUAUCGACCCCCUCCGUGCCGAAGCUAACGCGAUAAGUGUUCCGCCUGGGGACUACGGCCGCAAGGCUAAA